rnacentral:rRNA from 1 species
CCUACGGGAGGCAGCAGUGAGGAAUAUUGGUCAAUGGUCGGGAGACUGAACCAGCCAAGCCGCGUGAGGGAGGAAGGUACAGAGUAUCGUAAACCUCUUUUGUCAGGGAACAAAGGCGGGGACGUGUCCCCGGAUGAGUGUACCUGAAGAAAAAGCAUCGGCUAACUCCGAGCCAGCAGCCGCGGUAAUACGGGGGAUGCGAGCGUUAUCCGGAUUUAUUGGGUUUAAAGGGUGCGCAGGCGGUCUGUUAGAUCAGCGGUCAACGCACGGGGCCCAACCCCGGCCCGCCGUUGAAACUGGCAGUCUCGAGUUGGAGAGAAGUAUGCGGAAUGCGCGGUGUAGCGGUGAAAUGCAGAGAUAUCGCGCAGAACUCCGAUUGCGAAGGCAGCAUGCCGGCUCCACACUGACGCUGAGGCACGAAAGCGUGGGUAUCGAACAGGAUUAGAUACCCUGUAGUC